GAUGAACGCUGGCGGCGUGCCUAAUACAUGCAAGUCGAGCGAACGGACGAGGAUCUUGCUUCGCUGAUGUUAGCGGCGGACGGGUGAGUAACACGUGGAUAACCUACCUAUAAGACUGGGAUAACUUCGGGAAACCGGAGCUAAUACCGGAUAAUAUUUUGAACCGCGUUGGGCAAAAGUGAGAUUCGGUCUUGCUGUCACUUAUAGAUGGAUCUGCGCUGCAUUAGCUAGUUGUGAAGUUAACGGCUUACCAAGGCAACUAUGCAUAGCCGACGGGAUAGGGUGAUAGGCCACCUGGGAGCGGAGACAGGGUCCAUACUCCUGAGAGAGGCAGCAGUCGGGAAUCUUCCGCAGAGGGCGAGAGCCUGACGCAGCGGGCGGGCGUGAGUGAUGACGAUCUCGCGAUCGGAAAACUCUGUUAUUAGGGAAGAACCUAUGUGUACGUAACUGUGGACAUAUUGACGGUACCUGAUCAGAAAGCCACGGCUAACUACGUG
rnacentral:rRNA from 1 species